rnacentral:rRNA from 1 species
GACGAACGCUGGCGGCGUGCCUAAUACAUGCAAGUCGAACGCAAUACUUCGGUAUUGAGUGGCGAACGGGUGAGUAAUACAUAAGCAACCUGGCCAUGACAGGGGGAUAACUGACGGAAACGACAGCUAAAACCGCAUAGGUAUAAACGAAGCAUUUUGUUUAUAUUAAAAAUGCUAAGGCAUGGGUGAUGGAUGGGCUUAUGGAGCAUUAGCUAGUUGGUGAGGUAGAGGCUCACCAAGGCGACGAUGCAUAGCCGGCAUGAGAGGGUGAACGGCCACACUGGGACUGAGACACGGCCCAGACUCCUACGGGAGGCAGCAGUAGGGAAUUUUCGGCAAUGGGGGGAACCCUGACCGAGCAACGCCGCGUGAAGGAAGAAGGAAUUCGUUUCGCAAACUUCUGUUAUAAAGGAAGAAAGGGAUGUGUAGGGAAUGAUACAUCUAAGACGGUACUUUAUGAGGAAGCCACGGCUAACUACGUGCCAGCCGCCGCAGUAAAAC